UUAUGAAUCACCUAAGACCUUGUUAAAAUGUGGAUUUUUAUCCGUUAGUUCCAAGGUGUAGCUGGAGAUUCUUCAUUUCUAACAAACUGUCCUGUGAUGCUGCU
rnacentral:pre_miRNA from 1 species